AAAUUGAAGAGUUUGAUCAUGGCUCAGAUUGAACGCUGGCGGCAGGCCUAACACAUGCAAGUCGAACGGUAACAGGAAGCAGCUUGCUGCUUUGCUGACGAGUGGCGGACGGGUGAGUAAUGUCUGGGAAACUGCCCGAUGGAGGGGGAUAACUACUGGAAACGGUAGCUAAUGCCGCAUAACGUCGCAAGACCAAAGAGGGGGACCUUAGGGCCUCUUGCCAUCGGAUGUGCCCAGAUGGGAUUAGCUAGUAGGUGGGGUAA
rnacentral:rRNA from 1 species